AGCCCCGCGCUCUACCAGGCAGAGCGCGUGUGGCCGCCGAGCACAUGGACCCACUGGUCAAGCGGGCUCGGCAAGGCCAGGAUGAAGAGAAGCUACGAACUUAGCAUUCCCAGAGCCCCCCGAGUGGAUAUCCGCGUGGAAAGGAUGUUGGCAGCCCCGGUGACCUCGGAGUCACGGCUGGAUCCACCCUCUUGUCUGAUUUUCUUAACUCUACUACGGUAAGAAGAUGCCCUCCAUCAGCAGGCCGUGUCUGCUGGGACCUCUCUGGAGACUUCCUGAACCCUGUGGAUUUACAGUAAGAUGCAGUUUCCUGGGGAGUAAUUCUGGUGGAUACAAAUUCCGGAGUAUUACACCUGGCUUGCCUGGAGAUGUUACAAGUAGCUGGAUGGAUUCUUCAGCCUGGAUGCCCACUGAAAACAAGGACCGAAACUAAGAGGAUUGUAUCUCUACCCUUGACUCAAUGAGAAUGUUUGUUGUCAUCUCUCGGGCUACCUGGAGCUCCCUCUAAAAUAGAGCCGAGUUCUGUCACCACAGACAUUGGCAGUGGCACUUGCAUGCCCCUGGCAAGCAGUCUAUCCUGAGGUGGAGGAAGUUGCCCUUGAGUUCUGGCUGGUAACCAGCACAGGGGCUGGGACACUGCCUGAUUGAGGUGGCCAUUGAGAAUUCAAGUGUACCUCUUGGUCCCUGAUGCAGAAAUGAAGUCCCCAGCAUGCUCAAGAAGAGCUUCCUUGGAGGAUGAGAGGCAUGGGAAUCUAAGUAUACCCUUUAAGCGUUCCAGAAGGAUUUUGAGAUCCUUUCCUAAAUCAAAGGUGGAAUAUUUGGGGAUUUGGAAAAUUGAGCCAGUCUCUCAGAAGAACCAGUUGUGUUACUUUGCUGUGAGAUGCCUGCCCUAAGAGAGGAGCAGAAGGUCGGAACGGGUCCUCUAAUGUGAUAAUUAGAUGUGAAGCGUUGACUUAAGAGAUGCCAAGUAACUCAGCAGAUGUCACACAGACGAUAAAUAGCAAAGAUGGAAGUCUUCAUGCCGGAGGCAAUCCUAUAAGACAGCUGAGUUCUGCAGAGCUGGUAGGAGACAGACUUGCUCAGGUGAUAGAUCCAGCCAUGAUACUGACCCUAAGAGAAUGAGACGCUCUGCAGAAGACAGAAGAUUCCUGAAACUGGGAAAGGUGCCUAGAAAUCCUGAUAAGAGUGAAGAAGGAGCUGGCAGAGCAGCCUUCCUCCGCACUAUGAAAGACAUCCAACAGAGAGCAAGUUCCCACCUCACUUCCAGCUUGACUCCUUUUUAUCUCCUAACUGUGGUCUGUGAUGUCUUCAGCAAUGGUAUUAACUAGUUCUGGGUACCUGGAGGCACAGCAGCCAUGUUGAACCUAUGAGGUGAUGAAAAACCAUGCAACUAGAAACCAGAAUGGAAGAAAAGAAGAAGCUGGAUCCUUGACUGAAUUGUCGAUGGGGGAUAGUCCAUCAUCCCAGGGCUAAGACCACCUCCAGAUUUCUUGUUUGGUGAAACAAGUCCUGAUUGUUUACAUUCCCUCGUGUUGAGCUGUCUCUUGCUUGUAGCUGAAAGCAUUUCUAAUAGAUAUUCAGAUUAUCAGCCUUAGCUCCAAGCUAGAAUACUCUAUGGGACCUUAGCUUCUCCAUGAAUUCCUUUGCUCAUCUGUGUAAUGCUCAAUAAAUGUAAAUUGAACCCUGAAUGAGGGACAAUGACA
rnacentral:lncRNA from 1 species